UCGGGUAUGGUGUAACGGCUAACAUUGCCGCCUCUCAUGUAAUGUUCUAUUUCGUUUGCGAGUUCCGCGGCAGCUCGGGGUUCGAUUCCCCGUACCCGAA